rnacentral:lncRNA from 1 species
AUUUUCUAUGUACUUCAAAUAUCUAGAUCAAGUUUACGGAACGAUCGACGAUUCGAAAGUCGCAACAUCGAAAACGACGCUGGAAGCACGGAAGGCUCCGUGCUUUGGAUAGCAUAGUAGCUCUCACUCUAUAUAUAGUACUAUAUACUAUAUUAGGAGUGAGGGCUACUAUGCUUAUCGGAAGCACGGAGCCUUCGUGCUUCAGCUCGUUUUCGAUGUUGGACUUUCGAAUCGUGAUCGCGUCCGUUAAACUUGAUCUAGAGUAUUUGGAGUACCUAGAAAAUAAAUUUUAUUAUUUUUCGAUAUCAUUGCUAAUGAUCGAAUGGGCUCAAAUCGAACAAAAUUUCAACGGCAGUUAGUGAGACCGUUUUGCAGUUUAACGAUGUAGAAAAUAUUCAAAUCACAGUGAAAUUUUGAUUAGAAAAUUCUUUAUCUAUAGUAAAACAAGGAAUCAAUAUCUUGAUUUGGUAAAAUUUUAAUGUCAUAUUAUUCUUUUGUAAGAUUUUUAUUUUCCAGCUGUUGAUUUUGAGCCCCUUCGUUCACUAGGCAAAUGAUAUCGAAAAAUAAUAAAAUUUAUUUUCUAGGUACUUCAAAUACUCUAGAUCAAGUUUAACGGAAUUGAUCGACGAUUCGAAAGUCGCAACAUCGAAAACAAGCUGGAAGCACGGAAGGCUCCGUGCUUCCGAUAGCAUAGUAGCCUCACUCUAUAUAUAUAUAUAUAUAUAUAGAGUCCGGCUACUAUACUAUCGAUAGUACCAAACCCUUGGUACUAUUGAGUUUUCUACCAUUAGAUCUAUCCUUUGAUCAUUUCCACCCGUUAGAUUAUACUAUUAAACCAACCACUGACUCAACCCUAGGGGACCACUAUCAAUUUAAUCGGGGACCACUAUCAUCCGAAUCGCACAUUCUUUCAUCCAACGCCCAAAAACUCAAUAGUACCAAGGGUUUGGUAUUAUUGAUAGUAUAGUAGCAUAAUUAUAUAUAUAUAUAUAUAUGCGCGU